rnacentral:tRNA from 6 species
CGGAAUAUGGCGCAGCCUGGUAGCGCACUUGCAUGGGGUGCAAGGGGUCGCGAGUUCGAAUCCCGCUAUUCCGACCA